GGUGAAGUGAGAGAUAAAGAGGCAGCUGAUGGAGCGGAACAAAGGUGGUACUGCAGGAGUUUUGGUGUGGACACCAGCCCCUGUAUACUCCUCUCCCUCAAGCCCAGAGGGGUCGGACUAUAGCUGGAAUGAUGAAACAGAGGAGGACUUCCAGAGCCAGAUGGAUGAGAAUGGCAUUAUUGGUCUGGCAGAAAGUCAAGGGCAGCUGGAGGUGGAACAUAGGGAAGAGGAAAUGGCAGAUGACAUGUUGUGGGAUGUGAAGACCCCAGAACCUGAAGAUGGACCACCACCAUCUGCACUUGAGGAGAUAAGCUGUCAUCUAAGUGAACUGCUAGACUCUGAACCUUUCUCUCAGCCCACUUAUAUGCAAGAACAGAUUGCAGAUGAUGACCAAAGUGUUUUAUUGGAGGACUGGACUGAUGACGAAAACGAGGAUGCCAGGAUGCCAACAAUCCACAUAGAGGAAUUAAACUCUUUCCCAGAGAGAGACAGAACAUUAGACAUGACAGAUGAAGAUCUAGAAGAAAACGACACAAGUGAAGACAUUCAGAGACACACAGAUCAGCCAUGUCCUGUCACAGAAGAGAUAGCACCUCACAUCGACAGAAUUAAGGGCCUUGAUUUCAGUAACCGUAGGAACGAGGAUUCCCAAAAUAUUUCAGAUUUAGAAAUUCCUGAGCAUUCGGAAGAAAGUGAUUGUGAGGUACUUAAGAAAAGCAGGGUGCGUUUUCCUCCAACCACACUUUUUUCCUCUCCAAAUACUCUUCAUACCUUUCCUCAUUUGACCUCAGAGAAGCAGAUAUGUAACUGGGCGGUUGAUGCUGAGACUUUUCCAGAUCGAGCUCUCCCCAGUAGCAGGGUGGAGUCAUCUCUGAGCAGUCACCAAAACUCAAAAACUGUUAUAUCUAAGGAGGAAGAGCUUAAACCCAAGGUCACACCUCAGACUUUAGCGAAAAGUCCUGUAAUGAAAAGCAGACUUGAAAAAACAAUCCACGAUGGUUUGAGUAAAGAGGAAUCAGAGAGUAGCUUACACACUCCUUACCACAACCACCAGCUUCCAUCUUCCUCUCCCAGAAAAACAAACUCAGAUUCUCGGGAGGAUCGUCAGGUUUCCAGUCAUGCACAGUUGUUUUCUAAAGCAAGCAUCUCCCACUCAAAUUGCUCUCCAGUUCCUGUACCUCACCGUUCUUCAGCUAAAAAUAACCCAAGAAUGUCCAAAACCUCUUACACUGAUCCAGAUGAUGUCAGGAAAGGGCAACUGAGCCACCCAUUACCAGAUUUCUCUAAAGUGGAGCCAAAGGUUCGUUUCCCAAAGGGUGGAUACAAGCCCCCUAAAAGUCGUGCAGUUGCUUAUAGCAAAACGUCACACACAGAUCUUCCUAUAGUGUUCAAAUCUCCUGCCGAGAUUGUGCGAGAGGUCCUGUUAAGCAGCACUGACGAACCUCCAGAAAGUCCAACAUCCAGAAAGCAUCUAAACAGUAUGGUACCAGAGGAGUUUCGCUGCCCCCAACAGGCCAGCACACUUGUACAACAGCUACAGGAGGACUAUAACAGGCUGCUGACCAAGUAUGCAGAUGCUGAAAACACGAUUGACCGACUCCGUCUUGAAGCUAAGGUAGGUCUUUAUUCUGACCCUCCCAAACCCAGUACUGCUAUCCUGUCAGGUGUCAUUCAGGAGGGGUCAAAGGUCAUGACCCUCAGCUUUCCUCAGGCACAGAGGGUAGUGUUUGGUGCAGAUUCUGCUAAUGUGACCCUGCAGAGAGAUAACUCAGAAAACUCCAAAAAAGCCCCAACUCGCCCAUCCUCCGUGAACUCUGUCUCCUCUAGGUGGUCUGGAUCUAUCGGUGUGACUGCAGAGCAUCUAACAGAGACUCUGACCAACCAAACCUGCAGAUUUCAGCUACAGGUUGAUUCUUUUGAGCAACUACUGAAAAAUGGGAAACUGAAGCCCUGUGAACAGUUUAAGGGCCUGUCCACACUGGCUGAGGGACAGGAGUCUCUCGAGAGGGCUUACCUGGAUGCACGAGCCCAGUUUCAGAUGCUACAGCAACGUCAAAGCAGGCCUUCGACCUUUGACCCAGACAGGGAACUAGAGGGUCAGAUAUUCAAAUCAGGGAUGCGAUUGGAGGAACUGAGAGAGCGAGUAAAGCAAAACCAACCCACUUUUGAACCUCCUUCGACGCCGCCUCCUCAGUCGGACAUGCUGUCUUUGUCCAUGCUGGAGACUGAACCAUUACCCGAGAGCCCACUGGCAGCCACACAUCCUGAAGCUUGUGUUGGUGUGGAGGUGAGUUCAGUAAGUGGAGAGAGUGAUGAAGACAGAGAGGAAGAAGAAGAGAUGCUUCCAUCCCAUCUUCAUCCUUUGUAUGACAAACAUCAGCGUGUGGAGAAGGACUUCGGUAACCUCAUUGAUUGCUACCAAAGUUUUAAAGAGCUCCCAGGGCUGAUGGACAGAAGUGUCACUUUGAUAGGCUGCGACUCAGUGGAUUUUGAAGACUCUUCUUCUACCAGGAAUUGGUGUUUAAAGGACAGACAGCGACACAGGGCAACCACUGAAAGAGAAAAAACGAUAUCUGCUCGCACGCAGCCUGCAGCAGAUUUUGGCCCUCCCUCUGGCCCAUCCGUGAGGUCACAGGUGUGUGAUGCUGUGGAAACUCGCCCCAAGGCUCUUUGCCACUCCUCUCUGUUGCCAGGGCGACCGGGCAGGGAGGCGAAAACAGCAGGAAAUCGAAAAGAUCUCAGCAGCAGCCUGACCAGCCUGCCCGAGAGCACAGAUACUGGAAAUAUGCUCUUAAAAGCAAAGCCUAAGACUGUUGUAGCACCCCCUCUGGAUGGAGUUGUGUCUCCAGAGACAGACAGUGGUUUUAUAGGCUCUGAUAGCAGUCGACUCACUCCUGCAGUACACAGUCCUCUCCAGCAGAGGACAGUAGUAAGUUGCAUGAAGCCAUCUGGUCCAAACAUAAAGGACACCGUAAAACCAGACUCUGCUCCUCCCACUAGGCAGACUUUGGUGUUUAACCCCUCUCGCUCCCGACCUUUUACGAAUCUCCCUACAGAAAACCUUAGCACAGGAGGUUCUGUUAGGAGGAGAGAAAGCGAGGAGAGAUGUUCUGCUUCCAGCCUUGCUACCUCUGCCUCUCCUCUUCAUUGGCCUGAAACCCCCCUCCAACCCUGGCCGACCAACCUCACCAGCCAAUCGGAGAAUUGGAGUGAUCAGGGAGAAGAAAAGGCACAAGAAAAACCAUACCCACAAACAGCCCAUCAGCAGCUCUGCUUUCAAAGAGGCCACUCCCGCCGUGUACCCCAUCACCACGGUGACCUCAAAGCCCAAAGUUCUGUCCAGCUAACAAAUCAUCAAGAGGCCUUUCAGUCUCUACAGCAGGAAGUGAACAAACUAAAAGAAAGACUAGAGGGAAGUCUGAGUGUCUCCAAACCAGCAAUCCCUGUAAGAGUGCCCUCUACCCUCACGAAGGACAGCAGGAAUCACACAUUUCCACAGACCGCCACACCUCAGUGGCUUGAUUUAAGGUCUUUAGAGAGAAAGGGAGAGCAGAUUCAGAUGAGGAGAAACAAGGAGACAGAGGAAAAUGUAAGAGGAAGCACACCACAACCAGCCCCGAGGAAGAGAUCAGCAUCUUUACCUCGAAACAGAUCUGAAUCCAAUACAACAAGUGAUUCUGAACGUGUUCAGUCUGAGCCGAGAUCAUCCACAUUUAGUUAUAUCCCAGUGUCACCUACGACGUCAAGAGAAAGAAGACAAAUCAGAUCAAGAUUCGGACCUCACACAGACUGUAAUACCCAGCAUAAUAGCACAUCAGAGGGCGGAUCUGAUGAUAAUGAUGAAACUGAGCCAAGCCGAGUCCCAGAUCUGACCUGUCCACACUGCAUGUCCAAGCGUACUGCUGCUUCUGCACGUACAGUGAGAAGUUCUCCACGUCACGCCCAGUCCCAUUGCAGCCAUUGUCCAUUGUGUGGUGCAUCACAGUUCAGUCAAUCAAGAAUCCCUCAGUCAGAAAAUCAGGAAUCAGUCCACACCCUCAGAUGGAGUCAACCAAUGAGGGCCUCACAGAGGAACAGAGUGGGUAUGAACAUUCCAGUGGCUCCUCCCCUUACAGCGAUGGGAAGUGUUCCAGUCGUCCCAUAUGUGCCAGUCUAUCCUUCAACUUUUUACUUAUCCAGCCCUGUAGCAACACAGGCCCACUCACAAUCGUUUAACAUCUUGCCAAGUCCCUCCAGAGAUGAGAGGUCAGAGGUUAGGGGUCAUCGGCGGCGUUCUCUUUCUAUGGACCUUCAGGAGUCUUCUUUGAGCAGCUCUCUGACACGUGCCAUCUCGUCAACAUCAGCAGAUAUUCAGUGCAGUGGAGUGUAGACAGUCCCAAAAUACUUUGAGUCACAAGAGUUUGUAGCAGCAUCAAGGUCAGUGUUCAAGGACCAGCAUGCAUUUCACUUUGUGAACCACAGUCUAGGGACUUUUUCUCAAUAUAUAUAUAUAAAAAAAAUUGUAGUAGCCUACUUAAUUAUCAUAAAUGAACAAUUGACUAGAGACUUGGGUCAUUAGCUCAGUUUCCAUCCAAACGUGAAGCGAAUCUUUUCAAAAUUCACAAACAAAAGAAAUGCGAAUUAGAUGCGUUUCAAUCAAGUUGUUUGAGCGAAUGAUGAUGAUAUUGGUAACCUAGUAAUCAACAGUAAACAAAACAAUGUACGCGUGGAAAAUGGAGACAGGACUGCAUGUAGUCACAAAUGGGGCAAGUUAUUAAUGUAUUUGCCGUGCAGCUUGUAAUUGCCAAACUGAAUGCUGUGCACAGGGAAGGAAUGCAGACUUAUUAUGCAGGCACUAGCUGCAAGGACAUUGCGAUGACGCCGAACCCCAUAUAUAGUCAAGACAACUCCAGCGAAAACAGCUAGACAGUCAGUCCCGUUGGUUUAAUGUUCGCUACAUGAAAAUUAAUUCAGCAAAUCCAUUUCCAUCUCACAUUUUUUUCACAUUUACUCUUUUUCACAUAAAUCAAAAACCACCUCAAACGAGCGUAAAAACUUUUUUGCGAAUCAAGGGAUUUUUAUGGAAAUUUGGCGUUUCCAUCACUUGGCGUUUUCGAUGAUACUUUUUUAUGCGAUACCUCUAAAUGCGCAUAAGAUGGUGAUGGAAACAUUGCUAUUGAUAAAUUAGAUUUUGAAUGUCACUGACAGUGUUGGGGAAAGUUACUUUUAAAAGUAAUGCAUUACAAUAUUAAGUUACUCCCCAAAAAAGUAACUUAUUGCGUUACUUACUUACUUUUCAUGGAAAGUAAUGCUUACGUUACUUUUAAGUUACUUUUGCAUUACGUUUUCUUACUUUUCAUGUGACUGAGAAUUCUGCAUUUAGAAAUUGCAUAUUUCCAUCGCAAAAAUGUCAAGCUCUGGUCUGCCACACUGAAAAAAAUGAUUCAUUCAAUUUACUAAAUUUUUUUAAGGAAAGUGGUCGCAAUUAAUUUAUUUAAGCUAAAUUUAAACAAACAAAGAAAAUAGAAAAACAAAACAAAAAACUUCUGUUUAAAUUAAAUGUAGCUUAAAUAAAGUGAUUGCGACCACUUACCUUAAAAAAAAUUAGUAAAUUGAAUGAAUCAUUUUUUUCAGUGCAUCUCCAUUUCUGACUGAAACUGUUCACGCAUAGAGUGUGUAAUUCUACGUUAAUACGUUCAGUUUAAUGCAGUACAUUGUUUUUUUACAUCUAAUUAAUUAAACUGAAAAGUAACUUGCAUUACUUUUUUAAAAAAGUAACUCAAAUAUUAAUGUGUACAUUUAUAAAGUAAUGCGUUACUUUACUCGUUACUUCAGAAAAGUAAUAUUAUUACAAUAUUUUGAAUUUGCGCCCCUCGGUAGGGGUGCACCGAAAUUUCGGUCGCCGAAAAUUCGGCCGAAAAUGCCAUUAUCGGUUUCGGGCCGAAAUAAAAAAUCCAGCCGAAAAUGUAAACCGAAAAUGAAUGUCAACCGCGCCCCUCCCAUCUGUGCGCUAUCGCUUGGGUUUCACUCACGGUGAUCAGUCGACUGAAACUGUUCACGCAUAGAGUGGUAAUUCUACGUUAAUACGUUCAGUUUAAUGCAGUACAUUGUUUUUUCUACAUCUAAUUAAUUAAACUGAAAAGUAACUUGCAUUACUUUAAAAAAAAAGUAACUCAAAUAUUAAUGUGUACAUUUAUAAAGUAAUGCGUUACUUUACUCGUUACUUCAGAAAAGUAAUAUUAUUACGUAAUGCACGUUACAUGUAAUGCGUUACCCCCAACACUGGUCACUGAUAUGCAAGUUUAUAUUGUAUUAGCUUUUAGCUAAAAUUAUGAGUAGUUAUUAUGAAUAAGAUGUGAGAUUUUUUUAAUCCUAUAGGUUGUGCAAUGAAGAUUACAUUUUCUUCUGAGGAUUUAAAGACAGAGUUAGGGCAAGAAGGAAAAUGCUUUCUGAGAUAAGGAACAGGAUCUUUCAUGUGGCUUCUCUCAAGCAAUCAUUGCUGCAGGUAUUUGUUUGGAGGUAAAUCAAACAGUCCAUGCCAACACUUACAUUUUUAAUUUAAUUUCCAUAUUAAUGGAAUUCCUACAUUACACUGCAUUUAAAAUGUAUUUCUGAAGCAUGCAGUUAUGAUAGAUGAAGAAGAUGCUUAAAGCAUGCCACAAAAUUACUAAAUUCCAUAUUUGUAAUGGAAGCCAAUUUAUUAGACAGCCUUAGUACACCGGUACACAUGAAGUAUACUUUAGUUUGUGCUUCAACACUCGCAAACAUAGAUUCCCACAGAUUUAGGACGCACUACGUUCUUAUUUAUUGAUAUUCUUUGAAAAAUAAAUAUAAUAGAAAUCAACCAAGUAGACACGGUUGAGUGCUUGACAGCAGCAAACCCAAAAUAAGGUAAUA